CCUACGGGUGGCAGCAGUCGAGAAUCAUUCACAAUGGGGGAAACCCUGAUGGUGCGACGCCGCGUGGGGGAAUGAAGGUCUUCGGAUUGUAAACCCCUGUCAUGUGGGAGCAAAUUAAAAAGAUAGUACCACAAGAGGAAGAGACGGCUAACUCUGUGCCAGCAGCCGCGGUAAUACAGAGGUCUCAAGCGUUGUUCGGAAUCACUGGGCGUAAAGCGUGCGUAGGCUGUUUCGUAAGUCGUGUGUGAAAGGCGCGGGCUCAACCCGCGGACGGCACAUGAUACUGCGAGACUAGAGUGAUGGAGGGGGAACCGGAAGUCUCGGUGUAGCAGUGAAAUGCGUAGAUAUCGAGAGGAACACUCGUGGCGAAGGCGGGUUCCUGGACAUUAACUGACGCUGAGGCACGAAGGCCAGGGGAGCGAAAGGGAUUAGAUACCCCUGUAGUC
rnacentral:rRNA from 1 species